rnacentral:ncRNA from 1 species
AUAAAAGCUAUGAAAAGGAAGAGUAAAUAUAUACUGUUCUAAGAGAGAGAAAUCAUUUGCUGAGAGAUUUCUUGAAUAAGAUUUAUUGAAAACCACCUUUGAGUUAAAGGCUGAAUUGAGUAGGCUAUUUCGUUUAUCGACGUUAAGAUAAUAAGUGAAUACUGAUUUUGAUGCAGUAUUAAUUUGAGUGGAACCGCGAAACAAACUCGUCUCAUUA